AUGCACCCCGUGGCCCCAAACCCAGCCUGGCCAGGGGGUGAGGGCAGUGCCCUAGCCACCGUCCCCUUUGGGCUGGGGACCUCAGCCUCAUCCCCACGGCUCUGCUCUGCCAGGGCUCAUAGCUCUGCUCUCCAGUUCCCUCCUGAGCCUGCUCCCAGUUUGGGAACUGGGGACAGCUCCCACAGGACAGCGGACGCGGUGCUGGGGCACGUGCUGCCCUGCUCCCAGCAGCCGGCUCCGACUCCGUGCCUCCGCGAUGCCCAGAGCUUCGCUGGGUGCCAGAGCCCCUUCGGGCUGCGUUUCCCGGGGCCGAGGGGGUCUCACCACCCUGCUCCCCCUUCCCAAACUGCUCAGGGGAAGCCUCCUGCCUCCUGUCGUGCUCUGCUCCCGGCCAGGCAGGAUCCAGCCAGCCCCCCGCGUGUCCCAGCCCUGCCGCCUCCAUCCCGGCAGACAAAGCCCGACCAGACAAAGCCGCAGCCCCGGCCCCUGGGCAGCUUCCCCGCCUGCACGGCCAGGGGACGACAAAUCCUACAACCAUCCCCCGGCACCCGGGGCCCCUCGCCUGCCUCCGUAGGCACCGGGAGGCACACGGUGCAGGCAGCGCCGCGGCACGGGCGGCGAGGCCGCGGGCAGCCCGCACGGCACCCCAGCCCCUCACGCAUGCACCGAGCAGUCUUUAAAAUGAAGGCAAAUACCUUUUUCCUCGCCAGCUUCACCGUCCAACACCUGUCCUGCCCCGGCCACGCGGCGCCUCCGCCGUUCUGCCCGUCCUCCAUGCACCGCCACCCGCGCCGGGACGGGCUUCAGACCCUCCUCUCCCCUCCGGCGGGUUUCGGCCCCACGCUGCCUGCUGGCAUUUUGGCAGCUUCGCCGCUCCAGCGAUGGCAUGUGUCCAUUUUUUUUUUUUUUUUUUUUUCCUUUCCUCCUCGCUCCCUUUCACAAUCCAUCCCCAGCCUCUGCGCCGCUGCCUCCGGAGCCGCCUGCGGUGCCAGCUCGCAGGGAAAUUGGCAGCGAGCGCGGCGCAGGGACGUUCCCGCAGCUGAGCGGAGCCCCUCUGCCAUCACCCGCCCUGGCACGGGGCCGGGGCGGCGGGGGGCUGCUGCCGCUCGCCAGCCCUCCCCAGCACCGCUGCCAAAAGCCAAACGAGGGGGGGAUGAAAAGGGAAAAAAAAAAAAAAGGCAAAGAAAGGAUCUGGCGGCGCCGCCAUCACCGGCCAUGGGGGACCCGCUGGCGACCCUUCCUUUUGCCACGUCCUCGUCGCUUGGUGGAGAGUGCGGGGGCCCUGCUGCGGCCCUGCUGCCCCUCGUGGGGAGGCUGGGCCCCGUCUGUCCCCGUGUCCCCACCCGCAUCCCCAUCCCGUGCGGGCGAGCCCUUCCCGAGGAGCGGGAGGCGACGCCGGCAGCCCCGGCGCGGCGAUGCUGCGUGGCGAGCACGGCUCCCGCAGACACACCUCUUACCCAGCAUCCGCCUGCCGAGAGAGGGGGGCCCGGGAAAUUGGGAAGGGGAGAGCGGAGGAGGGACUCGGCGCCGAGGGGUGGGUAG
rnacentral:lncRNA from 1 species